AAAUGGGUACUUGGGCCUGAUAAGCCCGGUCACCUGAUAAAGGGAGAUAAGCGAAUAACAACCUAUAAACUAACACAGAUAUAUUUGCGGAGCGGACCUGAUAUCUCGGAACUGACCUGCCGAAUAUCCAGGAGAAUCUCCGCAGAUCCCGGACGGAGCUACCACGGGCGUAGACCUAUAUAAGGAAGCAAGGACGACUUGGAAGAGACAUACAUUCAGCUUAACAUUCACACUUAUACUUUUACACUUUGUAAUCUCCUUUCACAUUGUAAAAGCUC
rnacentral:sRNA from 1 species